rnacentral:rRNA from 1 species
GGUGAGUAACACGUGGGUAACCUGCCCCCAUCUCUGGGAUAACCGUUGGAAACGGCGGCUAAUACCGGAUACGACCUUCUUUCGCAUGAUUGAGGGUGGAAAGUUUUUGCGGUUGGGGAGGGGCCCGCGGCCUAUCAGCUUGUUGGUGCGGUGAUGGCGCACCAAGGCUUUGACGGGUAGCCGGCCUGAGAGGGCGGUCGGUCACAUUGGGACUGAGAUACGGCCCAGACUCCUACGGGAGGCAGCAGUGGGGAAUUUUGCACAAUGGGCGGAAGCCUGAUGCAGCGACGCCGCGUGAGGGAUGACGGCUUUCGGGUUGUAAACCUCUUUUAUCCACCACGAAGGCCAGGUAUUCGCCUGGUUGACGGUAGUGGUUGAAUAAGCGCCGGCUAACUACGUGCCAGCAGCCGCGGUAAGACGUAGGGCGCGAGCGUUGUCCGGAUUUAUUGGGCGUAAAGGGCUCGUAGGCGGCCCGCUGCGUCUGCCGUGAAAGGCCUCGGCUUAACCGGGGUUUUGCGGUGGAUACGGGCGGGCUUGAGGCAAGUAGGGGAAACUGGAAUUCUACGUGUAGCGGUGAAAUGCGCAGAUAUGUGGAGGAACACCGGUGGCGAAGGCGGGUUUCUGGGCUUGUUCUGACGCUGAGGAGCGAAAGCGUGGGGAGCGAACAGGAUUAGAUACCCUGGUAGUCCAUGCUGUAAACGGUGGGCGCUAGGUGUGGGGCCACGUUGGUUGGUUCUGUGCCGUAGCUAACGCAUUAAGCGCCCCGCCUGGGGAGUACGGCCGCAAGGCUAAAACUCAAAGGAAUUGACGGGGGCCCGCACAAGCGGCGGAGCAUGCGGAUUAAUUCGAUGCAACGCGAAGAACCUUACCUGGGUUUGACAUCACCCGGAAACGUCUAGAGAUAGGCGCUCUUCGGACUGGGUGACAGUGGUGCAUGGCUGUCGUCAGCUCGUGUCGUGAGAUGUUGGGUAAGUCCCGCACGAGCGCACCCUUAUCCCGUGUUGCCGCAUUCAGUUGGACUCGCGGGAGACUGCCGGGUUACUCGGAGAAGGUGGGGAUGAGGUCAAGUCAUCAUGCCCUUAUGUCCAGGCUCUCCCCAUGCUCAUGGCGGUACAACGGUUGCGAUAUC